rnacentral:misc_RNA from 1 species
GGUAUGGUUGCUGGCCACGCUUAUUAUUUUCUCGAAGAUGUGUACCCACGAAUGACAGGGCGUCGACCGUUGAAAACCCCAUCCUUUAUCAAGGCAUUAUUUGCUGAUGAAGCAGUUGUAGUGGCACGACCCGUGGAUUUGAGAUUUGCAGCGCCUGCCGUUGAGGAUAUUCAUCAAGAUUAGUUUAUUAGACAUAUGAGCAAAAUCUGGUGAACUGGAGUUUUCCAUCUUUUGGGCAUUCAUCCACCCUAGAAAGGAGCAACCCCUGAUGACAAGGAAUUGUAAUUCUCAUCUGUAACAUAGCAUACAC